GGCUUUGAAGCGGUGACGCCAGUCAUCGUGGAGCCUCCCUUGAGAUACCACCCUUCGCACUCUUGAUGUCUAACCGCGGUCCGUUAUCCGGAUCCGGGACCCUGCGUGGCGGGUAGUUUGACUGGGGCGGUCGCCUCCCAAAGAGUAACGGAGGCGCGCGAUGGUAGGCUCAAGCCGGUCGGACAUCGGCUGUUGAGUGCAAUGGCAUAAGCCUGCCUGACUGUGAGAUCGACAGGUCGAGCAGAGACGAAAGUCGGUCAUAGUGAUCCGGUGGUCCCGAGUGGAAGGGCCAUCGCUCAACGGAUAAAAGGUACGCCGGGG
rnacentral:rRNA from 1 species